UUCAAAAAAUUAGCCGGGCAUGGUGGCGCAUGCCUGUAAUCCCAGCUACUCAGGAGGCUGAAGUAGCAGAAUUGCCUUCCUAUGAGGCAGAGGUUGUGGUGAGCCAAAAUCGUGCCAUUGCUCUCCAGCCUGGGCAACAAGAGCAAAACUCUGUCUCAAAAUAAAAAAAAAAUAAAAAUAACAUUUGAAGAUUAAAAACCACUAAAAUGGAGUUGAAAACUAGAAUAAAAAAUUCUGACCUACAAAAUAUUGAAUCUAAUAUAGAUGUAUCAAAGACAAUCUUAUAAAUAACUACAGUUUUCAACUGUGUGUACAUACAAAGAGCUGGCAUUUUGAAUCUUUGGCAUUCAAAGUACAGCAGUAAAAGAAAACUCAAUAAAAUGCUCUGAUGAGAAUGAGGCAUUUCAAUACAUUUAUUCUACAAUUGGAAAAUUUGAGCAUUUUAUUUCAGACAUUUUGAAUUCAAAAUAAAAAAUAUUUGACAUAGAACAUAUCAGAAAGUAAAAUAUACAAGGGGAAUGACACAGCAAGAUGGCAGAAUAGGAGGUUCUCUACCCACAUCUUCUACAGUUAUAAAAAAAUGUGGCGAGAAAAUGGCUUCACUGGGGGCUGAGAGUGCCCACAGAGUUGUUCCCACUGCUUCCUCUACCCCUAUAUUUCGCUUGGCUUUCUAUUCAUCUUUGCUCCAGGAUCAAAUAUUGAAGACUUCGUGCAUUCACCGAAGCGUCAGAAUAUAGUUUUGGAAAUGGAUGACUUCAGAAACAGAAAUGGCUCAGAUGAUCACUCCUACAAUGGAGGCAUCAUAGUGUCUGAUAACCAGAAGGAUUAGAUUUUCAGUUGCAUGUAAUACCAAGAAAUUGAAUUGUUUUCCUAUUCUUAUGGGAAUUGUUACCAAAGCCCUUAUUGAAAUUUUUAACUUCACGGAGCUUAUUCAAAUGAAGAGCACCUCAUUUUCUCGUGAUGACAUAGUGCUGGAACUUGGUUUUAUAGAUGGGUCUAUAUUUUUGUUGUUGAUCACAAACUGCAUUUCUCCUUAUAUCAGCAUAAGCAGUAUCAGUGAUUAUAAAAAAAAGUUGAAUCCCAGUUAUGGAUUUCAGCCUCUGGCCUUCAGGAUACUGGUGUGGACAGGCUCUGGUGGACAUUCCAUUAUACUCCUUGAUUCUCCUUUCAAUACAUUUAAUUUACUACUUCGUAUUUCUGGGAUUCCAGCUUCCAUGGGAACUCAUGUUUGUUUUGGCGGUAUAAUUCGUUGUGCGGCUUCUCUUAUAUUCCUCACGUAUGUGCUUUCAUUCAUCUUUCACAAGUGGUGAAAAAAUAAUGGCUUUUGGUCUUUUGGCUUUUUUAUUAUCUUAAUAUGUGUAUUCACAAUUCCAGUAUCAACUAAGUAUGAAAAACCCAACUUAAUUUUGUGCAUGAUUUUCAUACCUUCCUUCACUUUGCUGGGAUAUGUCAUGUUAUUGAUCCAGCUCAACUUUAUGUAUAUGAGAAACUUGGACAGUCUGGACAAUAGAAUAAAUGAAGUCAAUAAAACCAUUCUUUUAACAACCUUAAUACCAUACCUUCAGAGUGUUAUUUUCCUUUUUGACAUAAGGUGUCUGGACAUGAAGUAUGAAAUUGAAAUAAUGAAUAAAGACCCAGUUUUCAGAGUCUCUCCACGAUGUAGAGAAACUCAUCCCUAUCCAGAAGAGCCUGAAGAAGAAGAUGUUCAAGCUGAAAGAGUCCAAGCAGCAAAUGCACUCACUACUCCAAACUUGGAGGAGGAGCCAGUCAUAACUGCAAGCUGUUUACACAAGGAAUAUUAUGAGGCAAAGAAAAGUUGCUUUUCAACAAGAAAGAAGAAAAUAGCCAUCAGAAAUGUUUCCUUUUGUGUUAAAAAGGUGAAGUUUUGGGAUUAGUAGGACACAGUGGAUCUGGUAAAAGUACUUCCAUUAAAAUGACAACUGGGUUCACAAAGCCAACUGCAGAAGCGGUGGUGUUACAAGGCAACAGAGCAUCAGUAAAGCAACAGCGUGACAACAGCCUCAAGUUCUUGGGGUACUGCCCUCAGGGAGAACUCACUGUGGCCCAAGCUUACAAUGAAAGAGCACCUGGAGUUGUAUGCAGCUGUGAAAGGACUGGGCAAAGAAUAUGCUGCUCUUAGUAUUUCAUGAUUGGUGGAAGCUCUUAAGCUCCAGGAGCAACUUAAGGCUCCCGUGAAAACUCUAUCAGAGAGAUAAAAGAGAAAGCUAUGCCUUGUGCUGAGCAUCCUGGGGAACCCAUCAGUGGUGCUUCUAGAUGAGCUGUUCACCAGGAUGUACCCCGAGGGGCAGCAGCAAAUGUGGCAGAUACUUCAGGCUACCAUUAAAAACAAGGAGAGGGGCGCCCUCUUGACCACCCAUUACAUGUCAGAGGCUAAGGCUGUGUGUGGCCAUAAUGGUGUCAGGAACGCUAGGUUGUAUUGGUUCCAUUCAACAUCUGAAAAACAAGUUUGGUAAAGAUUUUUACUAGAAAUAAAAAAAUGAAAGAACCUACUCAGGUGGAAGCUCUCCACACAGAGAUUUUGAAGCUUUUCCCACAGGCUGCUCAGCAGGAAAGACGUUCCUCUUUAAUGGCGUAUAAGUUACCUGUGGAGGAUGUCCACCCUCUGUCUCAGGCCUUUUUCAAAGUAGAGGCAGUGAAACAGACCUUCAAUGUGGAGGAAUACAGCCUCUCUCAGGGCACCUUGGAGCAGGUAUUCUUAGAACUCCGUACAGAGCAGGCGCUGGGAAAUGUUGAUGAUAGAAGUACAGCAGUUUGAUGGAAACUUCUCCCACAGGAAGCCUCUUAAAACGAAGAACCUCCUAACAUUCAAUUUUAAGUCCUACUACAUUGUUUCCAUAAUUCUACAAGAAUGUUUCCUUUUACUUCAGUUAACAACAACAACAAAAAAAAUUCAGUAGUUUAAACAUUCAAUAAUGAUUAAAGUUUUCAUUUUUAAAAAUUUUAGGAUGAAGGAAACAAGGAAAUACAGGGAAAAGUAGUAGACAAAAUUAACAAAAUCAGACAUGUUAUUCAUCCCCAACAUGGGUCUAUUUUGUGCUUAAAAAUAAUUUUAAAAAUCAUAUAAUAUUAGGUUGGUUUUUGGUUAUUAUCAAUAGUUAACACUGAGCACAUUUUACAAAUAAAAAAAUUUUUUAGCCUAAAUUUCAAAUGUAUCAGCUAUUUUUAAACAUUACUCAGAUUAUAAUUUAAUGUGAUAUAAUUUAAUGUGAUUAUAAUGUAAUGUGACACAUUAUAAUUUAAUGUGACUAUAAGAAGAUCUGAUGAAAUGGCACAACGUAACAUUUAAUUAUAAUGACAUAUUCUGAUUAUAAAAUAAAUACAUGUGAAUAUUAGUACAUAUUGAAAUUAUAUGGAAGAAGAUAACCAUAAUCUGUAAGAAAGUACCACAGUUAAUACUUUAUUUAGCCAACUUAUAUUCAAUGUAUUUUUUAUGGGUCCUUUUUCAAAGGUAGCAUCAGUAGGCACAGUCAUUUUCUACAUCUUUUCACCUCACAAUUCAUGAACAUUUCCCAGGUCAUUAUAACACUUUUGUGUUAUAUAAUUGCUGCAUUAAUGUUAUAGCUGUAUUGAUGUAAUACCAGAGUUGUUAUAUUUGGGUUAUAUGCAAAUGUAUUUCUUAGAAAUAAAACUUUGAUAGACUUAAAAAAAUGUGGCAAGCCAGGUAUGGUGGCUCACGCCUGUGAUCACAGCACUUUGGGAGGCUGAGGCGGGUGGAACACCUGAGGUCAGGAGUUCGAGACCAGCUUGGCCAAUAUGGUGAAACUCCAUCAACACUAAAAAUACAAAAAUUGGCUGGGCAUGGUGGUGGGCACCUGUAAUCCCAGUUACUCGAGAGGCUGAGGCAGGGGAAUUGCUUGAGCCUGGGAGGCGGAGGUUGCAAUGAGCUAAGAUGGCGCCACUGCACGCCAGCCUGGGUGACAAGAGUGAGAUUCCAUCUCAAAAAAAAGAGCAGUUAUGCCCUGGCAAAAGAAACUUUAUGGGAACUUUGGAAUCCAUGUCAAAGGGUGUAAACCCAAGACUGAGGAGGGCUGUAUUGAGAGGGCAUGACCUUGCUUGAGUGGCAUGCUUGCCCAUCACAGUCCCAGCUACAAAAUAAAAUAUGACUAAUUCUCACUGUAAAUACAGCUGUAGACCAUUUGGUUUUGUUUAUGCCACUAGCACCAUCUGCCAAGACACCAAGUGUCCUGUGUCUCAGGUGAAAGGACUUUAGAUGUUGAUCCUCUCUGUGAUCUCUGAAUUAGCCCCUUGCACACAUCUAUCAUGGUGUGGAAGAAAUCUUGCACAUGCAGGAACCCACAGACAGAAACAUCCAUCUGUGCCCCUGGAUGUAGGCUUGCCAACAUUUAUUUAAUGGUGGAUCUUGAUGUGGCACUAUAAUCUGGCUCCAAGUCCAUAAAACCAAAGUCCAGAAACAGUUUUUCCUAACCUGGGACCUGCCAAAAAGCACACUAUAUGUGCCCCUCUAGGCAUGCUGGCUGACUUUAUUCCCACUGUGAAUCUUGAAGCAGUCCUAAAACUUACCUCCAGUCCCUGUCAGCUAAAGUCUGGUAAGAGUCCUGUUCACCCAGGAACCUAGAGGGAGAAAUGCCAUGAACCCGGAAACAAACCUGAAGACUUUGGUCUCAGCUGUGUAUGCCGAAGCAGCCCUAUGAAUCAGUUCCACACCCUCUCAGCUGUGAUCAAGGGUCAGUACUGCUCAUCUAGGAACCUGUCCAAUGACGGGGUUAGAGGAUUUCCAAAAACCCAGCAAGAGCCACACAGCAGAAGCCACGCCUGCUCACAUGGAUUGUAUCAGCUCUGUCAUCUGCAUAUAUAACUGGAGACUUUUUUUCCCCAACACCAGUCUUAUUGAUCAAGAUCCUGAAGAAAGUUCAGUCUUCCCAGAAAAUAGAAUCCACAACGGUCUGAUGCCCUAAUAACAGGUCUACCAAGCAUGAACUUCACUGUGAUCCAGAUCCAAUGCACCUUACUGCAAUCUCAUCAGCACAGAGAUCCAAUAGGAGAAAAUAUUUACCUCCCCAAACUAAUCUAUAAUGACUGAAAGAGGUAUUUACUCCUUCAGAUACAGGGACAUCAAAACAAGGUAUCACAGAUCAUGAAGGAUCAGGCAAACAUAACAUCACCAAAGGAAAUUAAAAAUGCUCCAGUAACCACUUACAAUAAAACACAGAUCUAAAAAAAAAUUCAAAUAAUUAUCUUAAAGAAUCUCAAUGAGAUGCAAAAAGUCACACAUUACUAAAUUUUUUUACAACAAUGUAUGAACAAAAUCACAAUUAUAAUAAAGAAAGAGAACCUAUUAAAAGAGAACCAAAUAGAUAUGCUGGAGCUGAAGUACACAAUAGGAGAUCUAAAAUAUUAAAGAGAAAGCUUUAACAGGAGACUUCGUUACACAGGGGGGUAAAAAAAAAAAAAAAGCAAACAUAAAAGUAAGUCAUUUGAAAGUUUCUAAUUAGAAUUUUAAAAAAGAAUGUAAGAAUAAAGCAUUUGGGCCCCAUACUGCAUAAUAAACAGUAAGAAUGUACAUAUUUUAUGAGGUUCAUGAGAGAGAAAAUUUUUUUUAAAUUGUUUAAAGAUAUAAUGUCUUAAAUUUUUCCCAAUCUUGGAAGAAAUAUGGAUAUUAAAUUAAAAAGCUCAAAAUGUCUAUAGCAAGAAGAAUCUAACAAAAAUUGUCCAUAACACAUUAUAAUUAAGACAAAAUUCAAAGACAAGGAGAGAUUCUUAAAAGAAGCAAGAGAAAGAGAUUCUUCACAUACAAGGGAACUCCUAUAAGGUUAUCAGCAGACUGCCCAACAAAAACCAUGCAAGCCACAUGGAAGUGAAACCAUAUAUUUGAAGUGCAAAUGAAGAGAGAAAAAGAAAAAACCUUGACAAUUAAGAAGACUAUCCCUGACAAAGCUGUUCUUUAGAAAUGAUGUAUCAAUCAAAAUCUCAGAUUUAAAAAAAGUUGAGGAAAUUUUUCAUCACUAGACCUGACUUACAAAAAAUGUUAAUGAGAAUUUUUCAAGUUGUAAUGGAAUCCUAACUUACAACAAAAAUAUAACUAUUAUUGAAAAUCAUAUACACCUGGUCAAAUUUAGAAGGCUUAUAAAACUGUAAUUAUGGCCAGAAAUCACUUUUAAUGCUGGUGUAAAAGCUACAAGAAAAAAAUUAUUAAAUAUAGCUUCAAUAAAUUGUUAAUGGGUAUACGAUAUAAAAAGAUGUAGAGUGUGACAUAAAUACUGUGUUGAAGGGAGUAAGACUGUUUAAUUUUUCAGUAUAUAGAAGCUAACUUUUGCUUGAGGCCAGGAGUUCAAAACCAGUCUGGUCAAUAUGGCAGGACCCUGUCUCUUAAAUAAGUACAUAACUAAAAUUAAAGGUCUCAGAAAGCUGUUUAUUCUUUUUAAACAAGCAGCAGCUGAGCCUGAUGGCUCAUGCCUGUAAUCCUAGCAUUUAGGGAGGCCAA